rnacentral:rRNA from 1 species
CCCUUAGAUGUUCUGGGCUGCACGCGUGCUACAAUGAUACAUACAUACAGCAAUCCUAUACAGACAUGUAGUGGUAAUCUUUAAUAUGUAUCGUACUAGGGAUAGACUAUUGUAAUUAUUGGUCUUGAACCAGGAAUUCCUAGUAAGCGUAAGUCACCAACUUACGCUGAUUACGUCCCUGCCCUUUGUACACACCGCCCGUCGCUUCUACCGAUUGAGUGUUCCGGUGAAUUAUUCUGAUCACUCCAUGUGAAAAGUUUUGUAAACCUUAACACUUAGAGGAAGGAGAANUCGUAACA